rnacentral:misc_RNA from 1 species
GAUGAAGAACGUAGCGAAAUGCGAUAAGUAAUGUGAAUUGCAGAAUUCAGUGAAUCAUCGAAUCUUUGAACGCACAUUGCGCCCCCUGGUAUUCCGGGGGGCAUGCCUGUUCGAGCGUCAUUUCACCACUCAAGCCUCGCUUGGUAUUGGGCAACGCGGUCCGCCGCGUGCCUCAAAUCGACCGGCUGGGUCUUCUGUCCCCUAAACGUUGUGGAAACUUUCGCUAAAGGGUGUUCGGGAGGCUACGCCGUAAAACAACCCCAUUUCUAAGGUUGACCUCGGAUCAGGUAGGGAUACCCGCUGAACUUAAGCAUAUCAAUAAGCGGAGGA